UUAAAUCCCUUAUCGAGGAUCCAUUGGAGGGCAAGUCUGGUGCCAGCAGCCGCGGUAAUUCCAGCUCCAAUAGCGUAUAUUAAAGUUGUUGCAGUUAAAACGCUCGUAGUCGGAUUUCGAAGCACGCUCACGGGGGCGGUUUUUGCUGUUUCUGUGAGGGUGUCUUCUUUUUCUGGGACGCGUUGUGCGGGACUUGAUUGUCUCUGCACAUCUGCGGGCCGGACGUUUACUGUGAARAAAUUAGGGUGUUCAAAGCAGGCGUUUGCUAUGAAUACGUGAGCAUGGAAUAAUAGAAUAGGACUUGACCUCUAUUUUGUUGGUUUCCGGAGAACAAGUAAUGAUUAAUAGGGACAGUUGGGGGCAUUCGUAUUUCAUUGUCAGAGGUGAAAUUCUUGGAUUGAUGGAAGACGAACAACUGCGAAAGCAUCUGCCAAGGAUGUUUUCAUUGAUCAAGAACGAAAGUUAGGGGAUCGAAGACGAUCAGAUACCGUCGUAGUCUUAA
rnacentral:rRNA from 1 species